rnacentral:rRNA from 1 species
GACGAACGCUGGCGGCGUGCUUAACACAUGCAAGUCGAACGGAAAGGCCCUGCUUUUGUGGGGUGCUCGAGUGGCGAACGGGGGUGUAACACGUGAGUAACCUGCCCUUGUCUUUGGGGUAACUUCAGGAAACUGGGGCUCAUACCGGAUAGGAGCUCCUGCUGCAUGGUGGGGGUUGGAAAGUUUCGGCGGUUGGGGAUGGACUCGCGGCUUAUCAGCUUGUUGGUGGGGUAGUGGCUUACCAAGGCUUUGACGGGUAGCCUGCCUGAGAGGGUUACCGGCCACCAUGGGACUGAGAUACGGCCCAGAAGGCUACGGGAGGCAGCAGUGGGGAAUAUUGCACAAUGGGCGGAAGCCUGAUGCAGCAACGCCGCGUGCGGGAUGACGGCCUUCGGGUUGUAAACCGCUUUCGACUGUGACGAAGCGUGAGUGACGGUAAUGGGUAAAGAAGCACCGGCUAACUACGUG